AUUGAACGCUGGCGGCAGGCCUAACACAUGCAAGUCGAGCGAGCGGCGGACGGGUGAGUAAUGUCUGGGGAUCUGCCCGAUAGAGGGGGAUAACUACUGGAAAAGGUGGCUAAUACCGCAUACUAUCGGAUGAACCCAUAUGGGAUUGGCUCGUAGGUGGGGUAAAGGCGCACCUAGGCGACGAACUCUAUCUGGUCUGAGAGGAUGAUCAGCCACACUUGGACUUAGCCCCGGCCCAGACUCCUACGGGAGGCAGCAGUGGGGAAUAUUGCACAAUGGGCGCAAGCCUGAUGCAGCCAUGCCGCGUGUGUGAAGAAGGCCUUCGGGUUGUAAAGCACUGUCAGCGAGGAGGCGUUACCGACAGAAGAAGCACCGGCUAACUCCGUGCCAGCCGCCGCGGUAAUAC
rnacentral:rRNA from 1 species